UGCAGAGAAGAAUGGGAGAAACUCCACAAAUACAGGUGUGCCAAACUUGUAGCAUCAUACCCAAGAAGACUUGAGGCUAUAAACUCUGCCAAAGGUGCUUCAAAGUACUGAGUAAAGGGUCUGAAUACUUAUAUAAAUGUGAUAUUUUUUAAAUAUUUGAUACAUUUGCAAAAAUGUCUUGCUUUGUUAUUAUGGGGGUAUGAGGAGAAAAAACAAACAUUUAAUCAAUUCUAGAAUAAAAUUGAAAACAGCAAGGGUCCUAAACAGCUGCCCUGGAGAAUGCCUGAUUCUACCUGGAUUAUGUUGGAGAGGCUUCCAUUAAAGAACACCCUCUGUUCUGUUAGACAGGUAACUCUUCAUCCACAUUAUAGCAGGGGGUGUAAAGCCAUAACACCCUCUGUGUUCUGUUAGACAGGUAACUCUUCAUCCACAUUAUAGCAGGGGGUGUAAAGCCAUAACACCCUCUGUGUUCUGUUAGACAGGUAACUCUUCAUCCACAUUAUAGCAGGGGGUGUAAAGCCAUAACACCCUCUGUGUUCUGUUAGACAGGUAACUCUUCAUCCACAUUAUAGCAGGGGGUGUAAAGCCAUAACACCCUCUGUGUUCUGUUAGACAGGUAACUCUUCAUCCACAUUAUAGCAGGGGGUGUAAAGCCAUAACACCCUCUGUGUUCUGUUAGACAGGUAACUCUUCAUCCACAUUAUAGCAGGGGGUAUAAAGCCAUAACACCCUCUGUGUUCUGUUAGACAGGUAACUCUUCAUCCACAUUAUAGCAGGGGGUGUAAAACCAUAACACACAUGUCUUUCCAGCAGCAGACUAUGAUCAAUCAUGUCCAAAUCUGCACUGAAGUCUAACAAGACAUCCCCCACAAUCAUUUUAUCAUCAAUUUCUCUCAGCCAAUCAUCAGUCAUUUGUGUAAGUCCUGUGCUUGUUGAAUGUCCUUCUCUAUAAGCAUGCUGAAAGUCUGUUGUCAAUUUGUUUAGGGUGAAACAGCAUUGUAUCUGGUCAAACAUCAUUUGUUCCAGAAGUUUACUAAGGGUUGGUGGUAACAGGCUGAUUGGUUGGCUAUUUGAGCCAGUAAAGGGGGCUUUACUAUUCUUAGGUGGCAGAAUGACUUUAGCUUCCCUCCAGGCCUGAAGGCCACACACUCUCUAGUAGGCUUGGAUUGAAGAUGUGGCAAAUAGGAGUGGCAAUAUCGUCUGUUAUCAUCCUCAGUAACUUUCCAUCGAGAUUGUCAGACCCUGGUGGCUUGUCGUUGUUGACAGACAACGACAAUCACCUCCUAGACACUGACUUUACGGAAUUCAAAAGUACAAUUCGUGUCUUUCAUUAUAUGGUCAGAUAUACUUUGAUGUUUAGUGUCAGUGUUUGUUGCUGGCAUGUCAUCCCUAAGUUAGUGUCAGUGUUUGUUGCUGGCAUGUCAUCCCUAAGUUAGUGUCAGUGUUUGUUGCUGGCAUGUCAUCCCUAAGUUAGUGUCAGUGUUUGUUGCUGGCAUGUCAUCCCUAAGUUAGUGUCAGUGUUUGUUGCUGUCAUGUCAUCCCUAAGUUUGCUAAUCUUGCCAAUGAAAAGUCAUUAAAGUAGGUUGCGAUGAAUGAGCCAUCUGUUUCAAUGAAUGAUGGAGCAGAGUUGGCUUUUUAUCCCAAAAAUGUGAUUUAAGGUUCCCCAAAGCUUUUUACUAUCAUUCUUUAUAUCAUUUAACUUUGUUUCGUAGUGUAAGGGGUUGGGGUAUGGGUAUUAGGGG